CACGUAGGCACCAAGCGUUGUCCGGAUUUAUUGGGCGUAAAGAGCUCGUAGGCGGUUCGGUAAGUCGGGUGUGAAAACUUUGGGCUUAACCCAAAGCCUGCAUCCGAUACUGCUGUGACUAGAGUUCGGUAGGGGAGCGGGGAAUUCCUAGUGUAGCGGUGAAAUGCGCAGAUAUUAGGAGGAACACCGGUGGCGAAGGCGCCGCUCUGGGCCGAUACUGACGCUGAGGAGCGAAAGCAUGGGGAGCGAACAGG
rnacentral:rRNA from 1 species